AUGACUUCUGAAACAAUGUAUGAUAUCCACUCUGCAAGAGAAUGUGCACAGCUAACCAUUUCCUACUUGCUCACUCAAUGCAAAGAAACGGUUUUGAUAAUCUGUUAUAAAAAUAAUAAUUCUCUAUGUUUAUUUCCCAUUAACUCAAUGGGGCAGUUAAGCAUCAAGCCUAAAUUUAAAUCCCUUGCUUAUAAAUCAGCGGUCAGGUCUCCUUGCAAACACCUGGACUCAGAUUCACAGCAGAAGCCUUGACCUCCCCGUUCUUGAAAGGUCCCAGAUAGGGAUAUAUGCCAAAGAUCUUAUGAGCAAAAUUGAUUCCCAGUUCACAAGAGCUUUUGCAUGCAAAGCAGAUGUGUAGUUUCUAUUAGUAUUGGUCUUUCCCUGGGCAUCUCUCCCAGAAAACAAAGAGCAAGAGGAAGGGUGUAUUACUAUCCCAACUGUAACACACUGCCAUGGUUGGAGCUGGCAGCUCGAUUCAAGAGGAACACAGAGGAAUUGCUGGAGGAGAAAAGAUGUUGUUAAUUAAAUAUUGCAAGUGUCUCACUUAGGGGGCCUCUUGGGCGACUCAUGACUUUUUGGCUUGUGGGACGUCUUUGUUCUGAAAUUCUAUAACCAAGAACACACUGGGCUUGCUGUCUCUUCACCAGAUGCUCUUUGCAUUAGCACUGCACCAUGCCUCUGUAUAACAAAACUCCAAAAUAAAUACAUUAGCCCACACGGCCUGGUCAUCUCGUGUUAUUUGGGAACCAAAUUAUUAGCCACAAGAAAAGAGGCCUCUCUCUCUGUCGUGCUUACAUGCAGUCUCCAUGGGUUCACUUCCAUAGACACAUAACGUGCUGUAGGGGUCAUUCAGCUAGGACCCAGAAGAUCAGGGUUCAAAUAUCUACCUGGCCAUGAAGCUCAUGGAGUGACCUCAGGCGAGUUACUAUCUCUCAUCCUAACCUACUUUUCUGGGUUGUGAGGAUAAAAUGGAAAGGGGGGAGAAUUGUGUGUGCUCCCUUUGAGCUCCAUCUCAAACUCCAAGGAAAGGUGGGAUACAGUUGUAGUGAUAAAUGUAGUGAUAAAUGAAAAUAAUAAUUGUUGUUGUUGUUAAAAUUUAUAUACUGCCCUAUACCCGAGGGUCUCAGGGCGGUUCACAGAAUAAAAUCAAGAUACAAAACCACAAAAUACAUAAUAAAAAUAAAAACAACAACCCAAUACACUUCAAGUUACAUACGCUUCAGGUUACAGACUCCGCUAACCCAGAAAUAGUGCUUCAGGUUAAGAACUUUGCUUCAGGAUGAGAACAGAAAUCGGACUCUGGCGGCGUGGCAGCAGCAGGAGGCCCCAUUAGCUAAAGUGGUGCUUCAGGUUAAGAACAGUUUCAGGUUAAGAACAGACCUCCAGAACGAAUUAAGUACUUAACCCGAGGUACCACUGUACCCCCCCCAAAAAAAACCCCACACAUUUUAAAAGGGCAUAGGAUGUAAAUCAGAUCAACCAAAGGCCUGGUUAAAAAGAAACGUUUUUGCCUGACACCUAAAGGUGUAUAAUGAAGGCACCAGGCGAACUUCCCUGGGGAGAGCAUUCCAUAGACAGGGAGCCACUGCAGAAAAGGCCCAUUCUCAUGUUGCCACCCUCCGAACUUCUCAAGGAGGAGGCACAUGAAGAAGGGCCUCAGACUCUCAGAAAUAAUCUUCUUUUACUGGGAAGGGGCAGUAUCCAAAUGAAGUUCCACUGAAGUCCCCUUCUCCUCCCCCAUGCCCUCCCAAAAUAUGCUCCAGCUUUCCCCACAAUCCUCCAGAGCAGAUUUAGGUUGUGCGCAGGGAAAGGAGAGGGCAGAGCAGUUACACUGCACAGCUAAAAGUCAUUGCUCAAAGCACACUGUAUCUGUUUAGCUGUAUGCUGCCCUAGGGGAAUGAUCUUAAUGCCUCUGGUGGCAAUCACUUGACAACAAAAAUGGCUGCUGGAAAUAAAAAUAAUAGUGCUGCGAAACUGUAGGAACAUAGCUUGCUGAGGUCAGUCACUGGGGCAGGGGUGGGGGAGAGACUCUGUUGAAGUAAGAGUGUUUGUGUUUCGUCUUAAUCCAAUGUGUUUAUUUAGCUUCAUGGUCCUUUGCAUCCCAAAGGUAACAAAAGCAAUCGCUCUGGCUUCCCCUAGCAAGGCAAAAUAAGCCUUGUGUUAAAAUAUCAUUGAAACUGCCGCACCCUUUUCUGAUUUAAAGCCCUGGUGCACACAGUAACCUUUGCAGUAACCUUUCCGAAAGGCCUUCAGGCUCAAACUUUGGCAAGUCAGCUGAGAGGAAAGAAGCAGUCACCAAAAAACCACUUCUCUUUGUGCCCUUGCUUCCAAACCUGAUGCAGAGAUCGUAUCGCCAACAACAGGCAUCAAAACAUCCACUGAGACACGGGGGGGGGGGGGGAGAAGAGGCAGUCUCUGUUCAGGUUAAAACCAGAGUUUGAAUUCUGAGGCUGAGAAACACAUCCUUGAAUUGCUACACUUCAUUCUCAGUAGGAUAUGAAGACUGGGCGGUUUAAAUUCUUGCACUGGUGUGAGGAUUAGCACUAACAGGACAUGAUUUGCACCCUCCUCCCUGCCUCAUGCACAUUUCACCCCAAAAUCCGUUCCAGGGUGAUGGGGGAACCCCAAGAACAGAAUGUGAGCUCACAUAGGGAGAGAACCUUCUGCUGCACAAGGAGAAAUCUGUGUGUUGACAUAACAUUCGGCUUGUCACUGCAUUGAACACAAACUGCUCUGCCUGUUGUUGUUGUUUUGCCCUCUAACAAGCAAAGCCUAAUUUCAUCCUGCAAAGGAGAGAGAGAGAUUGAUGGUCAAAGGGUUUGCUGAAAUUGUGGAGUGAACUGAAGCCCUUUGUGCCUCAGCCUCCCCUGUUUGCCUCUCAUAGGCCCCGCCCCCUUUGCAGAAAAAUCUCUUAAAGGGCCGGCCCUCUGACAGGCUCCUUUCCUGCAUUCCAUGACCUCCUGCCUGGCAUGCUCCCUGUGCUUCAUGACUGGUGAGGUACUAAAGGAGGCACACUUCUUCAGGCCUAGGGGAAGGUGCCUAUGAAGGUCUUGGCUCCAGCUCUGCAGCCCUGAUACUGCGAAACCAGGUUCGGUGGACUCCUGCCUGCCUGCCUGCCAGCCUCAGGUGCAACAUGUUCCAAGCCAAGAACCUAAUCUGGCUCCUUAGCCAAUGACACCCUGUCUUCCUGUCUAUGAAAUGAGGAUUCAUUGACCUAUCUACCUGGAACCUGAGAGGUCUGAUGCUUUAGAGGAGUAGUAGAAUACUUGAAAAUGUCAUGCAAAUAUGCUGUAAAGCACAGACAUUAAAAGCAGGAGAAAUACGGCUGGGUCUACCUCCCAAAACAAUGGAAAGAUCAAUGGACUCUUCAGUGGGGAGCCCUUUUUAUCAAUCUGUAUGAAGUUGUUCUUAUUAUUAAUUAAAUUUAUAUAUCCUACCCCUCAUCAUAAGAUCUCAGGGUGGCUCACAGAAUAAAAUGCAAGAUAGACACAAGUUUGAAGGGUAUGAUGCCUUGAGUGAAUAUCAGAACACCUGAAAGCUCCAUAUCAUUAGAUAGAAAACAUUGAAGUUGCUUUCAGAAUAUAGCUAUGUGAUUUGGUGUAUAUGUAUGAAAGCUGAAAAUGAAUGAGCCAAUAAUGAAUGAAAAAUGAGGCAAGUGCAAUGCAAAGAAAAAUGAAAUGAAUGAAAGAUUUAAAAGGAAAGAGACUGAAAACCAAAGUGGAUGGAUUUCAACUAAGUGAUAAUGAAAGAAAUUGCGGCUUUAAGAUGAAAAUGAAUAGAUAAAUGAAACAAUUUCC
rnacentral:lncRNA from 1 species